AGAGUUUGAUCAUGGCUCAGGACGAACGCUGGCGGCGUGCUUAACACAUGCAAGUCGAGCGGAAAGGCCCUUCGGGGUACUCGAGCGGCGAACGGGUGAGUAACACGUGAGUAACCUGCCCUGGACUUUGGGAUAACCCUCGGAAACGGGGGCUAAUACCGGAUACGACACGGUCUUGCAUGAGAUCCGUGUGGAAAGUUUUUCGGUCUGGGAUGGGCUCGCGGCCUAUCAGCUUGUUGGUGGGGUGAUGGCCUACCAAGGCGACGACGGGUAGCCGGCCUGAGAGGGCGACCGGCCACACUGGGACUGAGACACGGCCCAGACUCCUACGGGAGGCAGCAGUGGGGAAUAUUGCACAAUGGGCGGAAGCCUGAUGCAGCGACGCCGCGUGAGGGAUGACGGCCCUCGGGGUGUAAACCUCUUUCAGCAGGGACGAAGCGUGAGUGACGGUACCUGCAGAAGAAGCGCCGGCCAACUACGUGCCAGCCGCCGCGGUAAUAC
rnacentral:rRNA from 1 species